GUACACUCCUACGGGAGGCAGCAGUGGGGAAUUUUGGACAAUGGGCGAAAGCCUGAUCCAGCAAUGCCGCGUGAGUGAAGAAGGCCUUCGGGUUGUAAAGCUCUUUUGUCAGGGAAGAAACGGUGAAAGCUAAUAUCUUUUGCUAAUGACGGUACCUGAAGAAUAAGCACCGGCUAACUACGUGCCAGCAGCCGCGGUAAUACGUAGGGUGCAAGCGUUAAUCGGAAUUACUGGGCGUAAAGCGUGCGCAGGCGGUUUUGUAAGUCUGAUGUGAAAUCCCCGGGCUCAACCUGGGAAUUGCAUUGGAGACUGCAAGGCUAGAAUCUGGCAGAGGGGGGUAGAAUUCCACGUGUAGCAGUGAAAUGCGUAGAUAUGUGGAGGAACACCGAUGGCGAAGGCAGCCCCCUGGGUCAAGAUUGACGCUCAUGCACGAAAGCGUGGGGAGCAAACAGGAUUAGAUACCCCUGUAGUCCCAUG
rnacentral:rRNA from 1 species